rnacentral:rRNA from 1 species
AUUGAACGCUGGCGGCAGGCCUAACACAUGCAAGUCGAGCGACGGGCGGACGGGUGAGUAAUGUAUGGGGACUGCCCGAUAGAGGGGGAUAACUGCUGGGAACGGUAGCUAAUACCGCAUCCUAUCGGAUAACCCAUAUUGGAUUAGCUAGUAGGGGGGGGAAUGGCUCACCUAGGCGACGGUCCCUAGCUGGUCUGAGAGGAUGAUCAGUCACACUGGGACUGAGACACGGUCCAGACUCCUACGGAGGCAGCAGUGGGGAAUAUUGCACAAUGGGCGCAAGCCUGAUGCAGCCAUGCCGCGUGUAUGAAGAAGGCCUUCGGGUUGUAAAGCACUUUAAGUCGGGAGGCGUUACCGACAGAAGAAGCACCGGCUAACUCCGUGCCAGCAGCCGCGGUAAUAC